UACGUAGGGUGCGAGCGUUGUCCGGAAUUACUGGGCGUAAAGAGCUCGUAGGUGGUUUGUCGCGUUGUUCGUGAAAACUCACAGCUUAACUGUGGGCGUGCGGGCGAUACGGGCAGACUGGAGUACUGCAGGGGAGACUGGAAUUCCUGGUGUAGCGGUGGAAUGCGCAGAUAUCAGGAGGAACACCGGUGGCGAAGGCGGGUCUCUGGGCAGUAACUGACGCUGAGGAGCGAAAGCGUGGGGAGCAACAGG
rnacentral:rRNA from 1 species